rnacentral:rRNA from 1 species
GCGACCCCAGGUCAGGCGAGAUUACCCGCUGAGUU